rnacentral:rRNA from 1 species
CACGUAGGGGCCAAGCGUUGUCCGGAUUCAUUGGGCGUAAAGAGCUCGUAGGCGGUUCAGUCAGUCGGGUGUGAAAUCUCCGGGCUCAACCCGGAGGGGCCACCCGAUACUGCUGUGACUCGAGUCCGGUAGGGGAGUGGGGAAUUCCUGGUGUAGCGGUGAAAUGCGCAGAUAUCAGGAGGAACACCGGUGGCGAAGGCGGCAUCCUGGACCGGCAUUGACGCUGAGGAGCGAAAGCCAGGGGAGCAAACGGG